CCUACGGGAGACUGCAGUGGGGAAUAUUGGACAAUGGGGGGAACCCUGAUCCAGCGACGCCGCGUGAGUGAAGAAGUAUUUCGGUAUGGAAAGCUCUAUCAGCAGGGAAGAAAGAAAUGACGGUACCUGACUACGAAGCCCCGGCUAACUACGUGCCAGCAGCCGCGGUAAUACGUAGGGGGCAAGCGUUAUCCGGAUUUACUGGGUGUAAAGGGAGCGUAGACGGGGAUGCAAGUCUGAAGUGAAAGGCGGGGGCCCAACCCCCGGACUGCUUUGGAAACUGUAUGGCUGGAGUGCAGGAGAGGGAAGCGGAAUUCCUAGUGUAGCGGUGAAAUGCGUAGAUAUUAGGAGGAACACCAGUGGCGAAGGCGGCUUACUGGACUGUAACUGACGUUGAGGCUCGAAAGCGUGGGGAGCAAACAGGAUUAGAUACCCCGGUAGUC
rnacentral:rRNA from 1 species